CCUACGGGAGGCAGCAGUGGGGAAUCUUAGACACUGGGGGAAACCCUGAUCUAGCCAUGCCGCGUGAGUGACGAAGGCCCUAGGGUCGUAAAGCUCUUUCACCAGGGAAGAUAAUGACGGUACCUGGAGAAGAAACCCCGGCUAACUCCGUGCCAGCAGCCGCGGUAAU
rnacentral:rRNA from 1 species